UGGGGGAUAUUGCACAAUGGGCGAAAGCCUGAUGCAGCGACGCCGCGUGGGGGAUGAAGGCUUUCGGGUUGUAAACCUCUUUCGCUAUCGAACAAGGCCCGCUUAGGGUGGGUUGAGGGUAGGUGGAGAAGAAGCGCCGGCUAACUACGUGCCAGCAGCCGCGGUAAUACGUAGGGCGCGAGCGUUGUCCGGAAUUAUUGGGCGUAAAGGGAUUGUAGUCGGCUUGUUGCGCCUGCUGUGAAAACGCGGGGCUUAACUUCGCGCGUGCAGUGGGUACGGGCAGGCUUGAGUGUGGUAGGGGUGACUGGAAUUCCAGGUGUAGCGGUGGAAUGCGCAGAUAUCUGGAGGAACACCGAUGGCGAGGGCAGGUCACUGGGCCAUUACUGACGCUGAGGAGCGAAAGCAUGGGUAGCGAACAGG
rnacentral:rRNA from 1 species